rnacentral:rRNA from 1 species
CGCGUUGGAGCUCUCCCAUAUGGUCGACCUGCAGGCGGCCGCGAAUUCACUAGUGAUUAGAGUUUGAUCCUGGCUCAGAUUGAACGCUGGCGGCAGGCCUAACACAUGCAAGUCGAGCGGUAGAGAGGUGCUUGCACCUCUUGAGAGCGGCGGACGGGUGAGUAAUGCCUAGGAAUCUGCCUGGUAGUGGGGGAUAACGCUCGGAAACGGACGCUAAUACCGCAUACGUCCUACGGGAGAAAGCAGGGGACCUUCGGGCCUUGCGCUAUCAGAUGAGCCUAGGUCGGAUUAGCUAGUUGGUGGGGUAAUGGCUCACCAAGGCGACGAUCCGUAACUGGUCUGAGAGGAUGAUCAGUCACACUGGAACUGAGACACGGUCCAGACUCCUACGGGAGGCAGCAGUGGGGAAUAUUGGACAAUGGGCGAAAGCCUGAUCCAGCCAUGCCGCGUGUGUGAAGAAGGUCUUCGGAUUGUAAAGCACUUUAAGUUGGGAGGAAGGGCAUUAACCUAAUACGUUAGCGUUUUGACGUUACCGACAGAAUAAGC